UGCAAGUCGAACGAUACUACCGGGCUUGCCCGGUAGGAAAGUGGCGCACGGGUGCGUAACGCGUAUGCAACCUACCUUAAUCAGGGGGAUAGCCCGAAGAAAUUCGGAUUAACACCGCAUAAAAUCACAGUACAGCAUUGUACAAUGAUCAAAUAUUUAUAGGAUUAAGAUGGGCAUGCGUGUCAUUAGUUAGUUGGCGAGGUAACGGCUCACCAAGACCACGAUGACUAGGGGAUCUGAGAGGAUGACCCCCCACACUGGUACUGAGACACGGACCAGACUCCUACGGGAGGCAGCAGUAAGGAAUAUUGGUCAAUGGAGGCAACUCUGAACCAGCCAUGCCGCGUGCAGGAAGACAGCCCUCUGGGUCGUAAACUGCUUUUAUUCGGGAAUAAACCUACUUACGUGUAAGUAGCUGAAUGUACCGAAGGAAUAAGGAUCGGCUAACUCCGUGCCAGCAGCCGCGGUAAUACGGAGGAUCCAAGCGUUAUCCGGAUUUAUUGGGUUUAAAGGGUGCGUAGGCGGCUUAUUAAGUCAGGGGUGAAAGACGGUGGCUCAACCAUCGCAGUGCCCUUGAUACUGAUGAGCUUGAAUACACUAGAGGUAGGCGGAAUGUGACAAGUAGCGGUGAAAUGCAUAGAUAUGUCACAGAACACCGAUUGCGAAGGCAGCUUACUAUGGUGUCAUUGACGCUGAGGCACGAAAGCGUGGGGAUCAAACAGGAUUAGAUACCCUGGUAGUCCACGCCCUAAACGAUGAAUACUCGCUGUUAGCGAUACACAGUUAGCGGCUAAGCGAAA
rnacentral:rRNA from 1 species